AUUGAACGCUGGCGGCAUGCCUUACACAUGCAAGUCGAACGGCAGCAUGGAGAGCUUGCUCUCUGAUGUCGAGUGGCGAACGGGUGAGUAAAGCAUCGUAACGUACCGUGUAGUGUGGGAUAACGUAGCGAAAGUUACGCUAAUACCGCAUACUCUCUGAGGUGGAAAGCAUGGGAUCGUAAGACCUUUCGCUCUACGAGCGACCGAUGUCAGAUUAGCUAGUUGGUAGGGUAAAGGCUUACCAAGGCGACGAUCUGUAGCGGGUCUGAGAGGAUGAUCCGCCACACUGGGACUGAGACACGGCCCAGACUCCUACGGGAGGCAGCAGUGGGGAAUUUUGGACAAAGGGGGCAAGCCUGACCCAGCCAUGCCGCGUGAGUGAAGAAGGUCUUCGGGUUGUAAAGCUCUGUUGGCAGGGAAGAAAUCGCACAGGAUAAUACCCUGUGUGGAUGACGGUACCGGCACAAGAAGCACCGGCUAACUACGUG
rnacentral:rRNA from 1 species